rnacentral:rRNA from 1 species
AGUGAACGCUGGCGGUAGGCCUAACACAUGCAAGUCGAACGGCAGCACAGGAGAGCUUGCUCUCUGGGUGGCGAGUGGCGGACGGGUGAGGAAUACAUCGGAAUCUGCCCAGUCGUGGGGGAUAACGUAGGGAAACUUACGCUAAUACCGCAUACGACCUUCGGGUGAAAGAGGGGGAUCGCAAGACCUCUCGCGAUUGGAUGAGCCGAUGGCGGAUUAGCUAGUUGGCGGGGUAAUGGCCCACCAAGGCGACGACCCGUAGCUGGUCUGAGAGGAUGAUCCGCCACACUGGAACUGAGACACGGUCCAGACUCCUACGGGAGGCAGCAGUGGGGAAUAUUUGACAAUGGGCGCAAGCCUGAUCCAGCCAUACCGCGUGGGUGAAGAAGGCCUUCGGGUUGUAAAGCCCUUUUGUUGGGAAAGAAAUCUUUCAGGCUAAUACCCUGGGAGGAUGACGGUACCCAAAGAAUAAGCACCGGCUAACUUCGUG